AGAGGAUAAAAAAAACACCACA
rnacentral:sRNA from 1 species